GAGUUGAUUGCACAAAAUGCAUAUUGCAAAAACCAGGUUCAGUCCAAUGACAACCUAAAUUGGACUAGUAAUUAGCAGAAUUCAUAACCAAUUCCUAAUUUACAACACUUAGUAUUGCUGCAACAAGCCAAAAUUACAAUCAAUAUAGAACAAAUAAAAUAAUAUGGAAGUUCAAUAUCAAGUUCAAAUUAGUAUUGCUUCAACACUAGUAUUGCCAAUAUGAAGUUCAAGUAGAUACAAUAAUUCAUUGAUUGAGAUCAGCAAUACAAGUCUACAUUGAGUAUGCCAACAGAACAUAACAAUUGACGAUGAAGGGACGACUAUGACGGCGACUCGAUUGAACUUCAAUUGACUGUAAUGGCGGCUGGUGGACUUCAAUCGACAGUGAUGACGAUCAAUUGGACUGGUGGGCUUCAAUCGACGACAACAACAACUGGGUGGGUUCAAUCGACAGCGACGGUGACUAGGCCCUUCAAUCUACGGUUCGGUGGAGGUUCGAUGAUGUUCGGUGGUGCUUGUUUCGCGUGAGAAUCACUCGAUAGGUCGGUGUUGGUCGGUGAGGGUCGGUGUUGCGACGGGCCCUUCAAUCAACAGGUCGGUGAGGGUUAAUGUUGCGACGGACCCUUUAAUCGAAAGGUCGGUGAGGGUCGGUGUUGAGAGAGAGAGAGAGAGAGAGAGAGAGAGAGUGGAGGGCGUGCUCGACGGAAGCGUGCUCGGCGUCCGUGGAAGAUGGUGGAGAAGUAUUUGUGUCUCCCAGGGUGAGGCUCUCAGGGAGCUCUCAGAAAGCACAACGUGUUAUUUGAAGCCAACUGCGAGGAGAGAGAUGCUUGAUUUUAAUCUCAACCCUUGAAAUGAAUGGCUAUGAUGUUGUGUCUAAUUUUGUGUUU
rnacentral:lncRNA from 1 species